rnacentral:piRNA from 1 species
UACGUAUAAUAAGCCAGGGAACGUGUAG